rnacentral:misc_RNA from 1 species
GAUGAAGAACGCAGCGAAAUGCGAUAAGUAGUGUGAAUUGCAGAAUUCAGUGAAUCAUCGAAUCUUUGAACGCACAUUGCGCCCCUCGGUAUUCCGUGGGGCAUGCCUGUUCGAGCGUCAUUUAACCCCUCAAGCCUAGCUUGGUAUUGGGUGCUUGUCCCGCCUCUCGCGCGGCGACUCACCUCAAAGUCAUUGGCAGCCCGCAUCUCGCCGGCCGUGAGCGCAGCACAGACGCGCUCUUGGUAACGACGGAUCGGCUCUCCAAAAGCUUAUUUCAACCACUGACCUCGGAUCAGGUAGGGAUACCCGCUGAACUUAAGCAUAUAAUAAGCGGAGGA